CCCCGCCCCCGCCCGGCAGGAAGUGCGCCCUGGGCCUCUGCGGCUGUCCUCCCAGUGUCCAACGUUGCCUCGCGGAGGCCGCCGUGCGGAGCAAAUGUCUAACGGAAAUCAGAGGUGGAAAAGAGGUUGGAGGAGCCUGUUCCGUUCCACCCGCGUUUACUGAUGCGCCCACCAGCAGCCACGCUUGGGGCUGGGGGCUUUGAGGACACGCACGCUGCCUUAAAUAUAAUGGACAUCCGUAUGGAUUAAGACUCUAUACAAGCUUUCUCUUUAGUACACCAGGGGAAAGUGAAAAAAGAACCACAUUUGAAUUCGGCUUUGUCACUACAAGUGGGUGACCAUGAGCAAGUUACUAACCUCAGUGAACCUGUUCCUAACCUAAAAAGGAGGAGAAUGGAGAGCAGGUAAUAAUACCUUAUGAGAUGGUUGUGAGAGUUAUAUAGCAUUCUUUAUGUCAUAGUCCUAGCAAAGUGCUGGCAUAAAAUAGGUGCUCCCUAAAUGUUAAUUACCUACCUUCCUUUCCCUUUCUGUCAGAUUUUCUCUACUAUUCUUAUGAAAUAAUAAAGAGUUUUUGUAAUUAAAUAUGCUUUACUAUUCUGAGUAGGGUCUGGUUGAAUAUACAUAUAUAUACACACACAUACACACCAGGUAGGGUGCCUCACACCUGUAAUCCCAGCACUUUGGGAGGCCAAGGUGGGAGGAUCACUUGAGCCCAUAAGUUCAAGACCAGCUUGGGCAACAUAGUGAGAGCCCCAUCUCUAUAAAAAAUGUAAAAAUUAGUCCGGCAUGGUGGCACAUACCUGUAGUCCCAGCUACCCAAGAGGCUGAGGUGGAAGGAUUGCUUGAGCCUGGGAGGUUGAGGGUGCAAUGAGCUGAGAUUGCACCACUGUACUUCAGCCUGGGCAACAGAAGGAGACCUUGUCUCAAAAUAA
rnacentral:lncRNA from 1 species